rnacentral:rRNA from 1 species
GACGAACGCUGGCGGCGUGCUUAACACAUGCAAGUCGAACGGAAAGGCCCUGCUUUUGUGGGGUGCUCGAGUGGCGAACGGGUGAGUAACACGUGAGUAACCUGCCCUUGACUUUGGGAUAACUUCAGGAAACUGGGGCUAAUACCGGAUAGGAGCUCCUGCUGCAUGGUGGGGGUUGGAAAGUUUCGGCGGUUGGGGAUGGACUCGCGGCUUAUCAGCUUGUUGGUGGGGUAGUGGCUUACCAAGGCUUUGACGGGUAGCCGGCCUGAGAGGGUGACCGGCCACAUUGGGACGGAGAUACGGCCCAGACUCCUACGGGAGGCAGCAGUGGGGAAGAUUGCACAAGGGGCGGAAGCAUGAUGCAGCAACGCCGCGUGCGGGAUGACGGCCUUCGGGUGGUAAACCGCUUUCGCCUGUGACGAAGCGUGAGUGACGGUAAUGGGUAAAGAAGCACCGGCUAACUACGUG